rnacentral:RNase_P_RNA from 1 species
AGGAACGUCCGGGCUCCGCAGGGCAGGGCGGUGGGUAACACCCACCCGGAGCAAUCCGCGAGACAGUGCCACAGAGAGAAGACCGCCCCGCAAGGGGUAAGGGUGAAAGGGUGGUGUAAGAGACCACCGGGGGCCGUGGUGACACGGCCCGCCAGGUAAACCUCGCCCGCGG